AUUGAACGCUGGCGGCAGGCCUAACACAUGCAAGUCGAGCGGAUGAAGGGAGCUUGCUCCUGGAUUCAGCGGCGGACGGGUGAGUAAUGCCUAGGAAUCUGCCUGGUAGUGGGGGAUAACGUCCGGAAACGGGCGCUAAUACCGCAUACGUCCUGAGGGAGAAAGUGGGGGAUCUUCGGACCUCACGCUAUCAGAUGAGCCUAGGUCGGAUUAGCUAGUUGGUGGGGUAAAGGCCUACCAAGGCGACGAUCCGUAACUGGUCUGAGAGGAUGAUCAGUCACACGGGAACAGAGACACGGUCCAGACUCCUACGGGAGGCAGCAGUGGGGAAUAUUGGACAGUGGGCGGAAGCCUGAUCCAGCCAUGCCGAUGGUGUGAAGAAGGUCUUCGGAUUGUAAAGCACUUUAAGUUGGGGGGAAGGUCAGUAAGUUGAUAGCUGGCUGUUUUGUCGUUACCAACAGAAUAAGCACCGGCAAACUUCGUG
rnacentral:rRNA from 1 species